rnacentral:rRNA from 1 species
ACGGCUCAGUAACACGUGGACAACCUACCCUAUGGUGGGGGAUAACCCCGGGAAACUGGGGAUAAUACCCUAUAGACUAUGGAUGCUGGAAUGCUUUGUAGUCGAAAGGUCCGCCGCCGUAGGAUGGGUCUGCGGCCGAUUAGGUUGUUGUUGGGGUAACGGCCCAACAAGCCUGUAAUCGGUACGGGUUGUGAGAGCAAGAGCCCGGAGAUGGAUUCUGAGACACGAAUCCAGGUCCUACGGGGCGCAGCAGGCGCGAAAACUUUACACUGCGCGAAAGCGCGAUAAGGGGACCUCGAGUGCGUGCGCAAUGCGUACGCUUUUCAGAUGCCUAAAAAGCAUCUGGAAUAAGGGCCGGGCAAGACCGGUGCCAGCCGCCGCGGUAACACCGGCGGCUCAAGUGGUGGCCGCUAUUAUUGGGCUUAAAGGGUCCGUAGCCGGACCAGUUAGUCCCUUGGGAAAUCUUACGGCUUAACCGUAAGGCUGCCAAUGGAUACUGCUGGUCUUGGGACCGGGAGAGGCAAGAGGUACCUCAGGGGUAGGAGUGAAAUCCUGUAAUCCUUGAGGGACCGCCAGUGGCGAAGGCGUCUUGCUAGAACGGGUCCGACGGUGAGGGACGAAAGCUAGGGGCACGAACCGGAUUAGAUACCCGGGUAGUCCUAGCCGUAAACGAUACUCGCUAGGUGUCGGCCACGGUGCGACCGUUGUCGGUGCCGUAGGGAAGCCGUGAAGCGAGCCACCUGGGAAGUACGGCCGCAAGGCUGAAACUUAAAGGAAUUGGCGGGGGAGCAC